rnacentral:rRNA from 1 species
CGCCUCUAGCUCUACACAUAUUAGAGGUACUGCCUGCCCAGUGACACUGAUUCAACGGCCACGGUAUUUUGACCGUGCAAAGGUAGCAUAAUCACUUGUUUUUUAAAUAAAGACCUGUAUGAAAGGCAAAACGAGAGCUUAACUGUCUCCUUUGUCUAGUCCACGAAACUGAUCUCCCUGUAAAAAAGCAGGGAUAAACCCGUAAGACGAGAAGACCCUAUGGAACUUAAGAUAAAAACAACCCCCUGCCCCAUAACCAGCAGCAACUUGUUUUCACUAUCUUCAGUUGGGGCGACUACGGAGUACACAAACCCUCCGCGAACUAUUCGCUGAACAACACAAGCCAACGCACCAAAACAUUUUAAACAACUGAUCCAAUAGAUUGAUCAACGAACCAAGCUACCCUAGGGAUAACAGCGCAAUCUUCUUUCAGAGUCCUUAUCGACAAGAAGGUUUACGACCUCGAUGUUGGAUCAGGGUACCCAGACAAUGCAACCGUUGUCACAGGUUUGUUUUUCAACAAUUAAAACCCU